UCUGUCGCUUAUGAUCUUGUGCUUG
rnacentral:misc_RNA from 1 species